rnacentral:rRNA from 1 species
AUUGAACGCUGGCGGCAGGCCUAACACAUGCAAGUCGAACGGUAACAGGAAGAAGCUUGCUUCUUUGCUGACGCGUGGCGGACGGGUGAGUCAUGUCUGGGAAACUGCCUGAUGGAGGGGGAUAACUACUGGAAACGGUAGCUAAUACCGCAUAACGUCGCAAGACCAAAGAGGGGGACCUUCGGGCCUCUUGCCAUCGUAUGUGCCCAGAUGGGAUUAGCUAGUAGGUGGGGUAACGGCUCACCUAGGCGACGAUCCCUAGCUGGUCUGAGAGGAUGACCAGCCACACUGGAACUGAGACACGGUCCAGACUCCUACGGGAGGCAGCAGUGGGGAAUAUUGCACAAUGGGCGCAAGCCUGAUGCAGCCAUGCCGCGUGUAUGAAGAAGGCCUUCGGGUUGUAAAGUACUUUCAGCGGGGAGGAAGGGAGUAAAGUUAAUACCUUGGCUCAUUGACGUUACCCGCAGAAGAAGCACCGGCUAACUCCGUG